AUUGAGCGCUGGCGGCAUGCCUUACACAUGCAAGUCGAACGGUAACAGGUCUUCGGAUGCUGACGAGUGGCGUACGGGUGAGCAAUACAUCGGAACGUGCCUAGUAGUGGGGGAUAACUACCCGAAAGAGUGGCUAAUACCGCAUGAGAUCUACGGAUGAAAGCAGGGGAUCGCAAGACCUUGUGCUACUAGAGCGGCCGAUGGCAGAUUAGGUAGUUGGUGGGAUAAAAGCUUACCAAGCCGACGAUCUGUAGCUGGUCUGAGAGGACGAUCAGCCACACUGGGACUGAGACACGGCCCAGACUCCUACGGGAGGCAGCAGUGGGGAAUUUUGGACAAUGGGCGAAAGCCUGAUCCAGCAAUGCCGCGUGCAGGAUGAAGGCCUUCGGGUUGUAAACUGCUUUUGUACGGAACGAAAAGCCCUGGGUUAAUACCCUGGGGUCAUGACGGUACCGUAAGAAUAAGCACCGGCUAACUACGUGCCAGCAGCCGCCGUAACAC
rnacentral:rRNA from 1 species